rnacentral:lncRNA from 1 species
AGAGAGAGAGAGAGAGCAAGAUGAGAGGUGAGGAUGAUGAUGAACAGUGCUCUCUGAGAUAUUAGGUUUUGCUGUACCUCGUACCUUCCAUGGAAUGAAUUCCCGUGAUGUUUCCCAGCAGAGAAAUUGAAGAGAUCAUCAAAUUUCGACCAUCCUGAUGUGAACGAGAGGUAGAAGCUAUCCUGCCUUCUGAUUCAUCGUCUUCUCCGUUUCCAUUGUCUCUCUGUGUCAAUCGAAUCAACGAUCACUGGAAAACGACGGGAAAAUGGAGGGGCGAUUGAGCAGUAUACGCUCUCCUCUGGCCAAGAAAUCGACCAGAUAUGAUGGCGAGUUCCAGAAAAAAUCGAUGAUCGAGGAAACGAAAGGUACAACCGACCUCACCUUCUGAUCCGAUUUCUUCCUGCCCCGUCCUCCCUCGUCUUCCUCUUUUUUCCUCCCAGUCGCCCGCCGCCGAUCCCGCUGGUCGCCGGAAAUGGAGAUCGGAGCUCUCUCUGCUCGCCGACGAAGAACAGAGCGAGAGCGAGAGCGAGAGAGAGAGAGAGAGAAGGUAGAUUAUCUGUUACUGUCCCGAAAAGUAUUUUGCGAUGCUGUCCUCUUUCUGCUGCCCGGCCCGGAGGGUGAAGGCGAGAAAGGGGCCGAGGGUGGAGACUGGAGAGAGAAACCGGAAGAUCGGCCAGAGAUGGAGUGAGAAGCAGAGAGAAGCGGCCGCCGGAGUGGAGGAGGAUCGACGGCGCCGGCGAAGACGACGACGGAUCCACCUCUCCGCCGCACGGAGGUCUCAACAUCGCUGAUAAAGGAGAAUGAGAAGGAGAUAAAAUGGGGGAGGAAACAGGAUUACCAGGAAGGAUGGAGGAGGAGACGGAAGAUCGGCUUGCAGAGAGCUGAGAUCGUCGCAGUCGGCUGAUCAGUCAGGUUACCUCCCUCUCCAGCCCACUCUUCCAUCUCCCUCUUCGUCGCAGAAUCAUCCCCUCCUAUUUCUACCUGCUUAGGGCUCAACGACACGCAUUGCAGAUGCCUAUCUCUCUCGCGCGACUUUCAAUCUUUGCGUAGAAGCCAUUGGACUGCCGACGGGGCUCAAUGGGAUCUCCUUGCCGAAAAAUGCAGAAGAAUCCAUGGAACUUGAAGAUCAUUGCGGCCAUUCUGAUGCCGUUUUGAAUGUGGAUGCAGAUUCAACAAAAGCAGACACUCAUACGGAACAGAGGUUCAUUCAUCACGGAGGUGCAAACAAAUACUGCUCCUCCAUCAUCAGGUAUAAACUGAGAACCAGAGAGAGAGAGAGGAUUUUGGGGCGGAGCUUUCUUCUCCAUCCCAGGUUGAGGGAGGGGGUGAUUGAGGAAGAAGAUGGAAGAUCUUUGAGGCCAGGGAGAGCAUCGCAAGGACCUGCCAUCUUUUCUAUGAUCUAUAAACAUCAUUUUCCAAUGAGGAUUAUACAGGCUACAAGGGAAAAUGGCCUCCUUCACCAUGACGAUUCUUUUUACAGGAUGCAGCUUAUUCUCUGUGCUCGUAUGCAUGAGGGGUCCUUCCAAGUGGGGGACGGCAACCGAGAGAGAGAGAGAGAGAGAGAGAGAGAGAGAGGAGGAGAGAGAG